rnacentral:rRNA from 1 species
UACGAAGGUGGCAAGCGUUACUCGGAAUUACUAGGCGUAAAGGGCAGGUAGGUGGUCUGAUAAGUCUGUUGUGUAAGCUCCCGGCUUAACUGGGAGAGGUCAACGGAUACUGUCAGGCUAGAGUAUAGGAGAGGGUACUGGAAUUCCCGGUGUAGCGGUGAAAUGCGCAGAUAUCGGGAGGAACACCAAUGGCGAAAGCAGGUACCUGGACUAUUACUGACACUCAGCUGCGAAAGCUAGGGGAGCAAACAGG